rnacentral:rRNA from 1 species
GACGAACGCUGGCGGCGUGCUUAACACAUGCAAGUCGAACGGAAAGGCCCUGCUUUUGUGGGGUGCUCGAGUGGCGAACGGGUGAGUAACACGUGAGUAACCUGCCCUUGACUUUGGGAUAACUUCAGGAAACUGGGGCUAAUACCGGAUAGGAGCUCCUGCUGCAUGGUGGGGGUUGGAAAGUUUCGGCGGUUGGGGAUGGACUCGCGGCUUAUCAGCUUGUUGGUGGGGUAGUGGCUUACCAAGGCUUUGACGGGUAGCCGGCCUGAGAGGGUGACCGGCCACAUUGGGACUGAGGUACGGCCCAGACUCCUACGGGAGGCAGCAGUGGGGAAUAUUGCACAAUGGGCGGGAGCCUGAUGCAGCAACGCCGCGUGCGGGAUGACGGCCUUCGGGUUGUAAACCGCUUUCGCCUGUGACGAAGCGUUAGUGACGGUAAUGGGUAAGGAAGCACCGGCUAACUACGUG